UACGUAGGGUGCGAGCGUUGUCCGGAAUUACUGGGCGUAAAGAGCUCGUAGGUGGUUUGUCGCGUUGUUCGUGAAAACUCACAGCUUAACUGUGGGCGUGCGGGCGAUACGGGCAGACUGGAGUACUGCAGGGGAGACUGGAAUUCCUGGUGUAGCGGUGGAAUGCGCAGAUAUCAGGAGGAACACCGGUGGCGAAGGCGGGGUCUCUGGGCAGUAACUGACGCUGAGGAGCGAAAAGCGUGGGGGAGCGAACAGG
rnacentral:rRNA from 1 species